CAAAGUUUGGACACACCUUGUUAUUUAAUAGUUUUUAUUUCUUUAUUUUCUACAUUGCAGAUUAAUACAGAAGACAUCAAAACUAUGAAUAAACACAUAUGGAAUUAUGUAGUAAACAAAAAAGUCUGGCUUCCAUGGUCACCUAACUUAAACCUAAAGGCAGAAAGGCCAACAAGUGCUCAGCAUCUCUGGGAACUCCUUCAAGACUGUUGGAAAACCAUUUCAGUGCAACCCAGGCCCAGAACCAUUCCCAUGAUUGUUAUCAACAAGAGCAUGAAGACCAGACUGCAGACUAUUGACAGGAGGAUUCAGAGACUGAACGACCUUCUACCUCAGAUCAAACUCAGGCACAAUGAAAAGCUCAGCCAGGAGAUUGAAUGUCUCAGCCAAAAGUUGAAGUUUCUCCAUAAGAGAAUGCAGGUGGCAGAUUCUCACAGCUGGAAAGGCAUGCUGACCAGAGCCCCUCUGUGGUAAACAUCCACAUUUCCGGCAGACAGAUCGCGGCCCUACGUCAAGCCUUGUUUACAGUGUGUUCACCCACAUCUGUCAUUCAUGUUGAGAUUUCAAACACAUUCGGUGGUCAACCUGGUGGGAAUCUGGACAGAAUAUCUUCUUUAUACAUUCAAAUCACACACUCAUCUCUCUGACCUUCAGGGUAUAGCUAAUAGAGUAAUUACAAUACUGUGCUUUUCUGUACAGCUCUACUGAAAAUGUAGUGAAAAAAUCCCUGUCACCUCGGUGUAAUUUAGUUAUAGCAUACAGUAAAGCACCAAAUACUUUGUUCUCAUGCCACAUUUUGAUUUUUAGUGAACCAUUAUUUCACCAAUAGGUUUCUUCUGGCUGGAAAUGGCAUAAAUAAAACAGUAAGAUGUUGUGUUAAAGGUGUUAAUGGUGAAUCUUAACUUUUUCUAUGUUUUUGUUUAAAUUAUUAUUCUUAAUUUACCCAAAAAUGCCAUGACCACAAUUAUUCAUGUACAUUGUAAUUGGCAGAUUUUUUUUUUUUAAUUAAAUGCAGCUUCUGUAGCAUUUCAAAUGAUCCCUGUAAU
ensembl:lncRNA